rnacentral:lncRNA from 1 species
GUGAGUGAGCAUUUAACUGAAAGUGCUCUGUAAAUGUUGGUGAUUAUCUGUGUAUUCAGCACAUAUUUAUUGAGUACCUACUGUAUUCAAUUACCAAGAACAGCAAGUUGAGUGAGAUUUUGUAUGUGCAGUUUGGUGAAGGCAACCAACAAAUUAGUAAUGAAUUGCAGGGUUACAGUGUUGAGAACCAUAAUGGAGCAUGAAUAAGUUUAUGCAGGAACACUGGGAAAAGGCAAAAGACAUCUAAAUCAGAUUGCUGGGCAGAAAAGGCCUCACGGGAAAUACCGCAUAUAAACCUAGCUUCAAAGAAGUCAGCGUUAUUUAGAUCAAAGAGAGGGUGGAGGCAGGCGGCAUUCUGGGUUUAAAGAAAGCCCAUGAGAAGGCAUGGGUGGUGCACAACAGCGAAUGUCUGGGGAGUCCAAGUUUCAUGUGGCUUCGGUACACUUGGCACUAUGGGGUAAGAAAAGGAGGACUGUAAGCCCUAAGUGCCCUUUUUAUCCAGAAAUGAGGUCUCACUGUGUUGCCCAGGCUGCUGUACAGUGGUGCAAUAGUUCACUGCAUUCCGAACUGCUGGACUCAAGAUCCUCCUGCCUCAGCCUCCCAAGUAGCAGGCACUAGAGGUAUGUACCACCACACCCAGCUAAUUUUUCAAUUUUUUGCCAAGAAGGGGUCUCGGCAUGUUGCCCAGGCUCGUCUCUAACUCCUGGGCUCAAGCCAUCCUUCCACCUCAGCCUCCCAAAGUACUGAGAUUACAGGCAUGAGCUACCACACCUGGCAUGCUUCUUGUAUUUCGAAGCUCUAUUUUUGGGUGCAUACACAUAUAGGAUUGUUUUGGCUUCUUGAUUAACUGACUCUUUCAUUAUUACAUAGUUUUUCUUUAUUUCUGGCUGUUUUCUUUGCUGUGACGUCUACUGUGAUACUGACACCUAGCUGUCUUCGGUUCAUGUUU